GUGGGGAAUAUUGGACAAUGGGGGGAACCCUGAUCCAGCCAUGCCGCGUGUGUGAAGAAGGCCUUUUGGUUGUAAAGCACUUUAAGCGAGGAGGAGGCUACUCUAGUUAAUACCUAGGGAUAGUGGACGUUACUCGCAGAAUAAGCACCGGCUAACUCUGUGCCAGCAGCCGCGGUAAUACAGAGGGUGCAAGCGUUAAUCGGAUUUACUGGGCGUAAAGCGCGCGUAGGUGGCCAAUUAAGUCAAAUGUGAAAUCCCCGAGCUUAACUUGGGAAUUGCAUUCGAUACUGGUUGGCUAGAGUAUGGGAGAGGAUGGUAGAAUUCCAGGUGUAGCGGUGAAAUGCGUAGAGAUCUGGAGGAAUACCGAUGGCGAAGGCAGCCAUCUGGCCUAAUACUGACACUGAGGUGCGAAAGCAUGGGGAGCAAACAGGAUUAGAAACCCCGGUAGUCC
rnacentral:rRNA from 1 species